rnacentral:rRNA from 1 species
AGUGAACGCUGGCGGCAGGCCUAACACAUGCAAGUCGAACGGCAGCACAGUAAGAGCUUGCUCUUACGGGUGGCGAGUGGCGGACGGGUGAGGAAUACAUCGGAAUCUACUUUUUCGUGGGGGAUAACGUAGGGAAACUUACGCUAAUACCGCAUACGACCUACGGGUGAAAGCAGGGGAUCUUCGGACCUUGCGUGAUUGUAUGAGCCGAUUCCGUAUUGGCUAGGUGGCAGGGUAAAGGCCCACCAAGGCGACGAUGCGUAGCUGGUCUGAGAGGAUGAUCGGCCACACUGGAACUGAGACACGUUCCAGACUCCUACGGAAGGCAGCAGUGGGGAAUAUUGGGCAAUGGGCGGAAGCCUGACCCAGCCAUGCCGCGUGAGUGAAGAAGGUCUUCGGAUCGUAAAACUCUUUAAUUAGGGAAGAACAGCAGUAUGCUAAGAUCUUCACGUCUUGACGGUACCUAAUCAGAAAGCCCCGGCUAACUACGUG